rnacentral:rRNA from 1 species
ACGAACGCUGGCGGCGUGCUUAACCCAUGCCAGUCGAACGGAAAGGCCUGCUUUCCCUUGUGGAUUGCGGGUACUCGAGUGGCGAACGGGUGAGUAACACGUGAGUGAUCUGCCCCCAACUUGGGUAUAAGCCUGGGAAACUGGGUCUAAUUCCCGAUAGGACUGCAGGGUGGUGCCUGUGGUGGAAAACGAUUUUCUAGUGGUUGGGGAUGAGCUCGCGGCCUAUCAGCUUGUUGGUGGGGUAAUGGCCUACCAAGGCGGCGACGGGUAGCCGGCCUGAGAGGGUGGACGGCCACAUUGGGACUGAGAUACGGCCCAGACUCCUACGGGAGGCAGCAGUGGGGAAUAUUGCACAAUGGGCGGAAGCCUGAUGCAGCGACGCCGCGUGGGGGAUGACGGCCUUCGGGUUGUAAACUCCUUUCGACCGCGAGGAAGCCACCUGGUUGGAAGGGUGGUGACGGUAGUGGUAGAAGAAGCACCGGCUAACUACGUG